CUCCUGGGCACCCGGGGGUCGGGGAGGGCUGGUGGGGUUGGCCAAGGUCGGGGGUGGGAGCGGGACCUAGGCUGGGGAAGGUCGGGGGCUGGGAGGCGGGAGCCAGGGGCUCUGGAGAGACCUGACCGGGAGGCUGCGGGAGAGUCGGGGUCCGGGUCGGCGCGAAGGCCUCGGGCGCGGUGGGGACGCCGGUGGCGGGAGGCACGCAGGUGGGACCUGGCCGGUGACCCAGGGGCAGCGUUGCUGACUGAGGAGGUGGAGGCACUGAGCGGGCCGGGGGCUCUGGUCAGUGCGUCUUCGGAAGCGUGAGCAGCCAGGUGACCGAGGAGGGAGGGACGUUGGGGGCACACCAGCAUCCCGCCGAGGUCAGGCGGCAGGACUGCGCCUUUGAGCCUGGCCAGUAGUCCAGAGUGGCCGGAACGUGGACGUCAGGGUCGAGAACGGGCGCUGUGGAAGGCUUUUGAGAGGGAGCAGUGCGUGCGAAGCGAUCACCUUUUGUCGGGAGGACAGGUGGGUCUGAGUGGGUCAGGAUCCCAUGUAAGGGAGACCAGCCGGGAGGCUGUGGGAAUAGCCUGGGCCGCAGGAGGUGAGGACUUGGACGGAGACCAUCUGUAGGAAUAAGAGGGAUGAGAGGCAAGAAGGGCGAGGCCUUGCACAGAGCUGGUCAGAAAGGGAGGAGGAGCAAAGAAAGGCGUGUCGUCCGGGCUUGGAGGUGCGAGCAGAUGCCGACGUGCGUGACCAAAGCAGAACCUGUCCAAGGCCGGCCGGUUGUGCAGGAAGAAGAUGCGGGAGCAGGGGAGAUACAGGAGUCAGCGAUGGAUCUGGGGUUCACAGAGAAGUGUUAGGAAAUGUACAGCGACUUCGAAGUGUCGUGAAAACGAGGCCGUGGAUGGGUUUGGGCGACCCUUCAGUGAACCCGGUGCUUGCUGUGUAUAAGAUGCUGAGCUCCGUGCUGAGCAAGACAGACGUGUGCUUGGCGUUGAUGGAGCUGGUGACCUGGCAGGAAGGACAGGCACGGAACACACAACCACUUUUUUGCAGUUGAUAUGGUCCUUGGCGACUUGGAUGACUCAGUCACCUGGCCCCGUGUUCCUCUGGGAUUUGUCCUGGAGGUUCCCGGGGUGCCAUGCUGACCUCUUCCGAGGUGAGACCCACGCACUGCAGAGAUGAGCAUUUCAGAGUGCACGUCGGUGCUGCUCGGGACACGCGUGGUGGGGCUGCCGCCGCCCCUGUCUGGCUCCAGGACGUCUCCAUCCCUAAGGGAAGCCCCUCCCCGGCGCCCCUCCCCGACCACCUGCGUCCGUCUCUGUGGCCUUGCCCGUGCUGGACGUUGGAUGUCCGUGGAGUCUCGGAGUGUGUGACCUGUUACUCAGCGUGUUUCUGAGGCCCACCCGUGUCACAGCGUGUCAGCACGUCACCCCUCGUUGUGCUGGACUUGACUGCAGGUGUACACCGAGUGUCGUCUUAGGAGCCGGACAGAACGUGAAAUCCGGCACUGACAGCGGGUUCCCGGGUGAAGCUUCCUGGGUUGGUCCUCACUGUGCACCGUCUUGGGCUGGACCGUCUGUCACUGUCGGAAGGUUUCCGUAGGAGGUCUUGGCUUUGCCUGCCUCCCUUGGGGAAGCCCGCCAGCAUCCUCGAGAGGCUGGCUUCAUUUGUCAGUUUGCUGUCAGAGCGUAGGGGGUAGGCCCUCAUUUAGCAACAGUUAAUUUUACACGGAGUAGGACCUUGAAUUCAGGUUUUUCUCAAAGGCUCAUGUUCAGGAACUAACGUAGGGAAUACACGUUCUCCGUGUGUCCUUGGGAAGCAAGUCAGGACGGCAGUGCAGGGGGUGCAGCCCGCCUACCUCAGAGCAGCUGUGUCUGCACCCCCUCCCUGCCCUGGGACGGGGGUGGGGACCAGAGCACCCAUCUCGCCAGCGUUCUUAGCCCAGUUCUGCCUCCUCCAGCCUCUGAGAAGGCAAGAUGGCCUUAGAAGGUUUGUGAGAACCUGCAAUUCCACGCCAAACCAUGUACCCACAUGCGUACUACCUGUGUUUUCCUGGCGAGAAGAGCCGUGACUUUCAUCAGGUUCCAAGAGGGAACUUAGGGCUCAGUCCUUGUUGAAAGUAGGCAAAACGACCGUCCCCGCAUUACCCUCCACAGCAGCUUCCAAGCUUUUAAAUCCCAGGCCCAUACACCUUAGGACAUUACUGGGAUUGUAGCUAUCGAUAUUUACUGUAUGUGAAAUUCAAAUGGAAAGUUUAAAAUUAUUUGUAUGUUUAAAAGUAACAACAGGGAGUUCCCGCUGUGGCUCAGUGGUAACGAACCCAGCUAGCAUCCAUAAGGAUUUGGCUUCGAUCCCUGGCCUCUCUCAAUCAGUUAAAGGAUCCAGCAUUGCCGUGAGCUGUGGUGCAGGUCGCAGACACGGCUCGAAUCUGGUGUUGCUGUGGCUGUGGUGUAGGCCGGCCGCUAUGGCUCUAAUUCAACCCCUAGCCUGGGAACCUCCAUAUGUCGUGGGUGUGGCCCUAAAAAGCAAAAAUAAAGAUAAAAGUAAUAAUAAUAAACUCGUUACACGUGCACGUAACAUUUACAAACAUCUUUAAUAGAAGUUUCUCCUGUCUUCUGUGCUCCAAUCGGGCGGGCCCUGGAGCCUCCACUGUGCACCUGUGAGGUGAGCAAGGUAACAGCCAGAGUCAUUCCCAAGAUAGUUUUGUGGUGGAGGGCUCCUUGGGGUCCCCAGGCCACACCUGGGGAGCAGACUGUGUGGGCUGCAUUAGCUCACUCCUGGCUCAGUUGUGUUCUGCUCUGUGUUGGCAUUUUGGUGAGGAGUCGGUCUGGUACAAAGGGGAACAUCUCAUGUCGCCACUCUCAGGUUUCGUGGCCAGGAGAAGCAGGCCACCUGUGGCCACUGUUGCACUUUUUUUUCUUUUACUUUUUAGCACCACUCCCGCAGCAUAUGGAGGUUCUCAGGCUAGGGGUCGAAUCAGAGCUGCUUCUUCCAAGGCUACAUCACAGCCACAGCAAUGCAGGAUCCGAGCCGCGUCUGCAACCUACACCACAGCUCACGGCAAUGCCAGAUCGUUAACCCACUGAGCAAGGGCAGGGACCGAACCCGCAACCUCAUGGUUCCUAGUCGGAUUCGUUAACCACUGCGCCACGACGGGAACUCCUGUCUCAUCUUUUUAAAAACAUAAGCCCUUUACAUGAGGCUUUUCCCUUUAUCAUGUUACUGUAAUGCAGCAUCUUUAUAAAGUAGUAGCACCCAGGAGAUUAUAGCAUCUGUUGCAACUUAUAGAAAUGAGUGAAUCACUUUCAUUUCUGGUGUCGUCUUUGUCAGGUUCCCUUAGAGAAGUAAGACCUUAGCCAUCCAUAUCUGGAGCCAUCCCGAGGCAAUGCUCUUUCGUUAUAUACUAUAUAUAGUCAGGGCUUGGCAGUGCUGUUGUUUACUGCCUGCCCGCGGCCUCGGCCCAGUUUUGCACUUUAUUUCUGUCUUACGUCCACCACGUUGUUAGUAUCAUCUUCAUUUAAUCAGAACAGACCUUUCGUGCCUGCUCUCGGAUGCUUCUAUAAAUUGCUUUUCACAUCAGUCUGUGUUAUAUGUGUUUGUUUUCAUCAGUGUUGUUAUGCUAAUUUUAAUCUGAGGAAAACGGAAAAUAUAAUGGUGUUUCCAAAUUGUGAGGCCCUCCUCGUGGUCCUUGGGGCCUGAGAGUAGUUGAAACCAAGGAGGACCCAUGGCUGGGCUGUGGGGACACGGUCAGGCCUUGGGUCACACACGCAGCCUCAUUUCCUCAGAGAUACAUGUGUGUUAUACGACGGGUUUUACCGAGACUUAGGGAAAAAGAACCUACUUCAUGCAAAGUGAACUGGAUAGGGACCAAAAUACAAUAGAAAUAGAAAAUACCUUUAUAAAGUACAGAGUCUUACAGUUUUGGGGAGACUGGACUUUGCAUAUUUGUCACCAUGUAGAUGCUGUCGUUUGAAUUUUCAGAAGCCCGUGCAGUCCUUUUAACUGACGAAGAUCAAGGCUUUAUCUUCCUGUAAAGCUGAAGCAGAAUUGAGUCACCAACAAGAAAAAAUCAAGUCCGAUUACAACACAGGCAGAGCCAGAGGGCUGAGACAGACCUCCUCGCGGGCCUUGCUGUCUUCCCCGCUUCCCUUGCUUCCCAGAGCGUAAGCUUAAAUCAUCUCAGAAGGACAAGGUCUGCCAGUUCAUGGCAUUUACUCGGGCUGGCAAGAGGACUGCCAUCUGCUGCUUAGCACAGAACGAGUGGAGACUAGACGUGGCCACAGGCAGCUUCUUCCAGAAGCCAGGCUUGUUUCACCAGGAAUUCAUGAGCAGCUCCGUGGACAGGAGGAAGCUGGAGCAGCUGUAUAACAGGUACAAAGAUCCACAAGAUGAAAAUAAAAUUGGAAUUGAUGGGGUUCAACGGUUUUGUGAUGACUUAAGCCUAGACCCUGCCAGUAUCAGCGUUUUGCUUAUAGCAUGGAAAUUCAGGGCUGCGACUCAGUGUGAAUUUAGCAAAAAGGAAUUUGUAGAUGGCAUGACCGAGCUUGGGUGUGAUAGCACGGAGCAGCUGAAAGCGCUUCUGCCCAGGCUGGAGCAGGAGCUUAAGGACACGGUGAAGUUCAAGGACCUUUACCAGUUCACCUUCUCCUUUGCCAAGAGCCCCGGGCAAAAGGGACUAGCCUGUACUGAACUGGCGGUCGACACAGAAGAGAAUUCGAGCUACUUGGCUCUUUGUUGUGGCGUCAGAAGCUCAGCACUUGUGUGCUGCCUGCAGUCUGGAAUCGGUUGGCUUUGAGGAAUCUCGAUCUGGGCGAAGUUAAAGCUCCAGCUUUAGAAGUUUUUGUCCACGUGGGACCAAGCAAGAUUUAGAUGAGGAGUUCCCGUCGUGGCUCAGUGGUAACGAACCCGACUAGGAUCCAGAGGACACAGGUUCGAACCCUGGCCUCAACUCAGUGGCUUAAGGAUCCAGCAUUGCUGUGAGCUGUGCCGUAGGUCGCAGACGUGGCUCAGAUCCCGUGUUGCUGUGGCUGUGGUGUCGGCCGGCGGCUAUAGCUUGAUUCGACCCCUCACCUGGGAACCUCCACAUGCGUGGGUGUGGCUGUAAAAAGAAGAAAAGAGUGUCUGGAAAGCAUUUCAGGACGACUGUUCCUGGAGGGGCUGAGCCCUCCUUACGCGCAGGAAGUUACCUAAGCUCCUUCCCGUGCUUGCGUCGAGCUCAUGAAAAGAAAUAGACGCUGAACUUCCCGGGAGCGGAGACUGAAUUCCAAUACCUGUGAAUUGGGGGUCACAGGUGACUGAACCUAAAACGCAGCAUCCCUGUCCCGGGCACGCCCAAGAGUCAGUUUAUAUAGAAAUUGUGAAAUAACUGCUACCUUCCCGCCGGGACCUUGGGGACGUUGGGGACGUUGACUUGGAACCAGAUAAACAUGCUUGUUUGUCUCAACUUGGCCUCAAGAAAGUCCAGGUCUCUGUGGGACUUAGACGACCCCCUUUCGAAGCAGGCUCUGUCUCGGAAGCUCCGUGUCCCUCUUUCUAAACAAGUGUUUGCCUUGUGGCGCAUCACCCGGGAAGCGCGUUGGUCUGUUUUCCUUUAAACGCAUGGAGUACGCUAAUAGCAGCCAGGGCAGCUCAGUCCUGAAGAAGCCCAAUACACGAGAAAAUUAGAGUCUUCAAAACCGCUUAAUUAGGGAUUUGGAAAUGGCCGUGGCGUACUGGAAUCUGGUAUUAUCUGGAAGGUUUAAAUUUCUAGACCUCUGGAACACCUUCUUGCUGGAACGCCACAAAAGAUCAAUCCCAAGGGACACCUGGAACCUUCUGCUAGACUUUGGAAAUAUGAUUGCAGAUGACAUGUCUAACUAUGACGAAGAAGGAGCGUGGCCUGUUCUCAUAGAUGAUUUCGUGGAAUUCGCACGGCCGGUGGUCACGGGGGGUAAAGGCAGCCCUUUGUAGGCAGAAGAUCGGGGUGAAGCGAGAGGAAAGGUGAGCUCGCCCUGCAGGAGCUGCUGGUCAGGUGUGUGGCUCACGCGGGCAGCCGACCCGUCCUGAACUGCAGGCCCGCGCCCCGCCUGGAGUCGCUGCCACCGCGGCUCGUGGGCGUCUGCAGUCGGGGCCUCACCGCUGCUGUAGGAGCUUGUGCGUGACUCCUGUGUUGGUGACAGGAGGCCGACGCCAGUGCCCACCGCUUGCUGAAGAGACAGAGGGUCAGGCUGCCGAAAACGUGCCGUAACUGAGAGGGUCGUCAUGGGUUCUGACCCCUUGGAACUCGGUGCCAGGGCUGGGAUUUGUAUUUUUUGAAUCGUCAGACGUCUGUGUUUCUUGGCGGUUUUUGUUUUCCCCAGCUGUCCCUCUGGUUGUGUUGCUGCGUGCACGGCCCGGCCAGGGCACGCAUGACAUCUGCAAGCCUCAGCCUAAGCUGUCCGCGCGUCCCUUUACCCUGAUAACGUCCGUUGACCUUCCUAGGGAGCUUCAUAAAGUGUGCUCUUUUAAGAAUAUGUUUCAUUGCCCCUAAAAAGAAGUUUUUCCAUGAAAAAAUGUCAUCUGUGGUGGCAGAUUAUAAAAGUCAAGGGUUGGCUCCUUUCAACCACCUGUGAGGUGAGAGACGUCCACCCCCCGCCCUUCGUAAGCUCGUGCCCACCUGGAACCAGGGCAAACACACACUGUUGUUCCAGGGCCGUCUCACAUGCAGGGGAGGUAUCUCUGCGCCACGCAGCCCCUGGUCCCCUGGUGCUGCCCAGGCAGGCGGCCCAGUGGCACCUGCCCUUCUUUCAGGAAAGCUCUUUGCAGCCCUGCCUCGUCAUUCUUGGGACGGUCUGCACAGCGCACGCGUGCCUGCUGCCCGGGGGCAGAUCAGCGGGGUUAUCUCACAGUCCCUGAGAUGUCCCGCACACAGAGAGUGGGCCCAGAGGGGCUGUGGCUCACUCUGCUUCGGGACACAGCCACGGACCACGUGAGGGUGGCGUGGGCCCAGUGCGGGCCAGCUGUUUGUACCCGAGCACAGGCGUCUUGAAAGGGGCUUGAGGCCUGGAGACCCGGUCUGGGCGGGACCAGCCCCUCACGAGGUGCAGGCCUGGGGCUCUCAUAAGCUUUCCUGGCCUCCCGGUAAGUGUGUGGUCCUAAGAGCACAGGUUGUAUCUAAAAGAGCUGGCUUGAAUAAAAACCUCAACAAAGGA